UGGGGCAUCGCAUUAAAUUAUAAAUCAUCCUACUUGGGUUGGGUUCAGAUUGGCUUAGACUGGGUCAGCGUUGACUCCAGUUUUAAUUUUAUACCCAGGCAGCUACAAAUGGUGCGGUGAGAUUGGGCAAAGACUGAGGCUUCGAGUAACUAAUUGUCAUGGGAGCCUCAUUUAUUGUCCUGCUGUGUUGAGGGCAGGAUGUAAGAAGCCAAAGACAAGGACAACUUGCCAGGAAGGAAUGAUGCAGGGGGUGGUUCUGUUUAGGAGGUGUGUAUUCUCUAAUGUUUUAGAAGCCUCAUCGCCCUCUGUAACUCUCUGAGUGUACCAGGACGUCAGCAUUUUUCUGCAGCAGUGGUGACAGAGAGCCAUUACCUCUGUAGCUCAGAGAUUCAGUUGCACGUCCACACAUUGAUGAUCUGUUCACUAUAAGACAGCACACUGUGCCUGCAAUUUUCCUGCCGUAAUGUCCAUCUCCCCUGAGAACCUUAUGUCUAUCCCUGAUCAUUUCUGAGGCCCACCAACUGACUAAAUUCUGCACCGGUUAGUUAUGUGCCUGCUGCCUUAACUGUGCUACUGCCUGCUCCCUCUUUGCUGCAUUAUAAUGUCCAGCAGUGGGUGAAUUCAGUGCUCACUUCCUCUUUAAGGGGUCUGGGCAUAACAUCAGUUAACACUGGUGAUUUUUCAGUGACUGCAGGCAAUUCCUGAACCCACAUUAAUGGAGGAGACAUUGCAAGCAGUGACACCAAAGAGCACAACAUUGCAUAGGUCGGACAUGGAAAAAUCACGCACAUCACCAUUUUAAACACUUUUUUUAUCGGCUUAUGAAUUUCAAGACCGCUGUUUCUGUGAUACUUUAAAGCAGAUUGUUUAAACUCACAUUCAGGGCUGUUUGGUAGUUCCAAAUAGAAGGAGCUGAAUUACUAUCUGUAUAAACAGCAUUUAAAUGUACGUUAAUAUCUUGGUGUAACUUAACCCAGACGUCUCUUUAAGUUCAUUAUUUCCAUUGAUGUCAUCUGCAUUCACCACUGCAACAAAUAAGUCAAAAUAUAUAUCAUGAACCAAGUCAGGUAUAAAUGUGGUAUAUUUUAUACAUUCACUAGUGUUGAAACAAUCUUUUUAAACAUGACUCUUUUGCUGGUACGCAUUGCUCUACAGAAUUCUUGUCCAGGUUAGGAUUAUUUAUGCUAAAAAAAGGUCUAGGUUUUCCCUGUGUAUUAGUGAUUUCCACUAUUUUGUCAAAAUGGUAAAUAGUCUGUUGAAUUGAACACAUGCCGUGAGUCAAUUAUUAAUCUGAGGAAUGCAACCAGUUCACAGGGCACUGCAAAUCGUCAUCCAUCCUUCUUUCAAUCAAAAUCAUCCUGAAUCUUUUCCGUGUCUCUAGGCUUCAUUCCAAUCUUAAUUUUAAAAUUCCAUUAUAACUUGUAAUUUAAUCUGAAGUCCGACUUCAUUGUAAUCAUUAUUUGUAAAUAUCGUACAUCCUUCUUGAGUGUCUUGGUACAAAAUAAAUUGCUUCUGCUUCCCACUACUACCAGCAAAGAGUAUUACUAAAUAUUUCCAAUUAAUUUGUGCUUAACAUAUAAUGUAUUCCACACCAAUACUGCACAAUUAAUACUUAGGAAAGUCUAAACUUGAUGCUCCAAUUGUCCCACUGGUACUUUUAAACAUUUGUUCAGUAUCAUUUUCCGGGAAUAAUGCUGAAAUCAGCUACUCUGGCCUCAGCAAUCAUUUGAAAUGGUAGAAUUUCCAGUCAUUUUACAAGCGUUAUUCUAUACUACCCCAGUCUAUCAAGGUCACUGUGAGAUUCACCUACAGUCUGCACUGAAUGAAUUCAACCUACCCACAGUUCAUGUAUAAUUUAAACUCAUCUUCUUCAGUAUUACGAUGCAUUUGAAAAAAUACUUUAUUACAACAUAUUGGCACAAACCAGCAUGCAUUAUGCAUCACUUACUAUGAUUUUUGAUUAACUAUCAAAAAUAUAGAAGAAUCUUUUAGACCAUUGUAUUCCUUUUAAACAGGCAAAUUUUACCUCUUUGGAAAGGAUUAAAGGUCCUACAGUGAGUUCAAAUCGGGCAAGUAAAAUUGCCUUGCAAUGAUGGGUGGUGUUUUUUUUUCCAUUUGAUUGGUCACUUAGAGUGCUUAGCUGCCUUUUUUCUUCAAUUAACUUGGUUUAACAUUUCCUCUAUUUAUUAAAUUUACAAUUUCUAUUAUGAAACAAAUAAUAUUAUGACCAAUAAAGAGAAAGCAAAUUAUUGCAAGCAAAUAUCAAACAGUUUUUUUUUUCAACAAUGUUAAUUAAUAGCCUUAUAAUUGUUUCAGAUAUAUGUGAUGGCUAUGAGCUGGUAAACAAACAAAGUGAAAUCCAAAUGUGAAUUUCUUUGUACUUUAGAUUAAAAUAUUGCACUCAGAUCCAUCAACUGCAGCUUUUAAAAAGAGGAACAAGUUUAAAAAAACAUUGUGGAAGGGAGUAAUUAUUCCAUAACUCGAUAUUAUAAUGAUUGCUUGGCAAAAUAUAAAAUAAUAUUUUGUGGGGAAUGAGCUAAUCUUAUUUCUUAGAAUCCAUUGAUCACCAAAAAUAAUGUAAAAUCUUUUUUUUCUAAAGGCAAUGUGCAGCUUCUCACCAAAACAGAGGUGCAAAAUAUCAGAAAUUCCUGGUUAAAAAAGAUGAGAGUUAAGAUUGCAUUUUCUAUAUUGAUGUGAAUCCCUUUUUCAUUAGAUAGAUUGAAUUAUUUAUUCCUGAACUUUUCCAAUUGUAGCAUCAGAAUGCAGUACACCUGAAGUUUAAACAUUAAGCACCUUAAGAUCUGAACAUUACAUUUAUGAAUAUUCUCAUGUUUUGCUAAGCAGGGGCCCAGAAAAUAAUUACUUUUGAAAAAUGGAUGAAAAUCCGAAGUCACUUCUAUUUGGAUGAUAAUGACGGCUUCUUCUUAGGAAAAGGUGGUUCUGAACAAAUAAAUGCACAUCGUGGAUUACAAAUUUUCCACCAUUUAUGGGAGAAGAAUAUUAAAUGUAUUAAAUAUAUUGUCACAUAGAAUAGAGCAAAAAAUGUAAUCAAAAUCAUAUGUGUUAAAGUAGUAUUUGUCUGUUGAAACACAACCUUUAAAUGUACCUAUUUAAUGCGGGUACUCCGUAAAAGCAUAUCAUAUCUUAAAAGGAAAAUUCAGUGAUUUCAUUGUUUCACUGAAUAUGAUCUUGUUCUAAUAUAUCCCACUAAAACACAAAAACCUGUUUCUUUUACUAUCGGAGUGCGAUGUAAUUUUCUAAGGUGUGUCUGAAACAUUAAUCUUCUCAUGAUUAUUGUAUGCUGCUGCAGAAAAUUGUAAAAGGUUACAACUAAUUCUUAGUAAAAAAAACCCUCAAUUGUA